CAAGGAGGGAAGAGUGAGGACCGUUCCCAUGGGGGGAUAAACAGAAAGUGGGGCAACAUGUCCCAUCCUCGUCAAACCAAGACCCUCAUCUCGAGGAGCCUGCAUCUCAGGAAUCCCAUACCUGUUCAUCUGAAAGAGGGCCAAGUGAAGAGCUGUAUGACUGCGAAUAAACACCACCUCCGGACUAUGGAGCUGUCAUUAAUCAGGCCUUUAGCUGACAGUCCAGCGCCUGCUGCUGCAUUCCCUUCAGAGCCCAUUGCAGGAUAUUUAUGUUGAUUGUACUCUUUCUUUUGUUCUGUGCUGCUCCCAUCCUCCUCCUCUUUGUCAUUAAUUAAAAGCUUGGAGCACUUUCAAACUUGCAACACUUUAAAAAUAAAAAUUUUCCCAUUA